GACGAACGCUGGCGGCGUGCUUAACACAUGCAAGUCGAACGAUGAAGCCGGAGCUUGCUCUGGUGAAUUAGUGGCGAACGGGUGAGUAACACGUGAGUAACCUGCCCUUGACUCUGGGAUAACUGCGGGAAACUGUAGCUAAUACCGGAUACGACCCUCGGAGGCAUCUCCUGGGGGUUGAAAGAAUUUCGGUCAAGGAUGGACUCGCGGCCUAUCAGCUAGUUGGUGAGGUAAAGGCUCACCAAGGCGACGACGGGUAGCCGGCCUGAGAGGGUGAACGGCCACACGGGGACUGAGACACGGCCCAGAGUCCUACGGGAGGCAGCAGUGGGGAAUAUUGCACAAUGGGCGCAAGCCUGAUGCAGCAACGCCGCGUGAGGGAUGACGGCCUUCGGGUUGUAAACCUCUUUUAGCAGGGAAGAAGCGAAAGUGACGGUACCUGCAGAAAAAGCACCGGCUAACUACGUGCCAGCAGCCGCAGUAA
rnacentral:rRNA from 1 species